UAAAUCACUGUACAGAUAUAAGC
rnacentral:siRNA from 1 species